GUGCUAAUGGCUCCCAGGUCAGUUUCUCAUCGAAAUCGGCCGAGGGACCACACGCCUCGAUGGUUUUUAUUGUUAAGUUGUAAUUUUUUUUGUCUUUUCUUUCAAGAACAACAACAUUCACCUUUCGUUGGCCGGAGAAAGUAGGCUUCAUAUGUUUCGUGGCGUUGCCUCUCCGACAGACCAAACCGGCGAGCGCCGGAGCUGUCAACGCCAGUAUCCAUCACGGGAGUGAGUAAUGAGAAAGUUUACCUACCUGUCCCGACAAAAACACGGCUGGUGCUCGAAGGGACAAUUGAUCAUUUUGCGACGUUUAUGUGUUUACUCGACACUAUGUCGCCCGACCGAUUCAAACCCUGGCCCCGAAAGCACGCAGAGACAGUUACUGCCGUCUGAGGCUAUGAGACUGAAAUGUUUAAUCACCCCCAGACUGGAAAGACAAUAUGGACCAGAACUGAGGCAGGGUGACCGGUCCCCAACCCCAGUUCCCUCACCUGCCUGCUGAGGUGAGGCCCGGGGCACUGUACAUGGGGUUUCCGGUGACCUGGGUCCAUCACCAGACUGCGGAGCACGGUGACCCUCCAGUCUGACACCGAAUAAACCCUGCAGGUUGUCAGGAUGCUGAUGGAUGUUGAUGCUUUGGCCCCUGCUGACCUCACACAGGCGGAGGCCACACAUGGACUUCACAAAUAUGAGAGCAAUGUGCAUCCAUCACCUCGUGAGACGUACAACGGGGGCGGUUGCGGAUCGCCAGUGCUGAGGACCGUCUCUGAGGAUGCUUGAUGGCCAGUGGAAGGCUUGUUUGUCACACAGCUCUUCCUUUCUCAAGUGCAAAUGUCCAUUGUUCUGUGCAGCGCGACACGUGUUGUUAUUUCCCCGCACCGCUCAAAAGACAAAAGCAAGGCUUUUCAAAUCUGCCCAACGGAGGGGGCCGUGACCUCAGCCCGCCGCCACUACGCCGAGGGGGACAAACAAUAAACAUCCCAUGGUAGCAAAAGUGGGGAAAAACCCUCGUCUGAGUACGGCUCUGGUGACCUUGGCCUUGUUGGUAGACAACGUUAGCAGCAACAUGGCUGAGCAAGGAUCUUCUUGGUUAGACAACUAUCGCAGCUGGUAAAAAAUGUGAUUUAUUAUACAUUUUUUCUCUACCUAAGAUCACACUUAUGCUUCACAUUGUUGACAGCAUUGUUCUUAUUUCAUUUUUGGUCCUCUGACCUUCUGUAGGACAUAAUCACCACAGUAAGCAGCGCAAGUGAUCCACAAUGUGGAGGAACAUUUGGAUCUUUCAGUGAACAUCAGGUUGCUGCCAUCAGGAUAAUAAAUGAGAGAUACAAAAUAUUGGCACACUAUAGACCCUGGCAGGGGGGCAUAUAAACACAAAGGUGAGGGCUAAAUAUUUCCAUUAAAUAAAUCCAGAGGUGUGUUCCACAUGCUGUGAGAGAAACCCGUCUUGAAAUAACAGUAUGAAAUUCCUUAUCGGUGUUGGUUCCAGCCACAGCGGGCAGCUAUUUUGAUAAUAAUAAUAAUUUUAAUAAAAAAAAAACCUGUCCCUGCCCAGCAACAAAAGCACAGACAUUUUUUUUUUCCAGACAAAAUAGCCAGGAGGAGGUGAAAAUUGAAAGGUGUGUGAGGAGUUACAUUCAUCAGGUGACCAUAAAUGUGCCGGCUGGAUAUAAAAUAAUAAGCGGUUAUUGUCUAACUAGUGAGUUACAUCAACUUAAAAGGUGAUGAUAUGUCCACAUUUGCCCCCCCCCAAAAAAUAUGUUAAUGCAGCAUAAACAACAUAAAACAACAACAACCAAUAAACCUAUUUUCUUCAUUCUAAUCCCAGUUUUAAUUCAUACGGCUUCUGCAGCGCUCCAGUUUCCCCCGCAGUGUCAAUUUUAUUCAACACAAUCAAUAACAAGGCAUGGCUCGUAGAUCCUGAAUAGAUUUUCCCGGCCCAACAGUCAACCAGCAGCAAAACGCCCCUCGUGUUUACAGUGGGAAACCCCUCCUGCUUCUCUCGGCCGAUGCCGAGUUAUCACUUUUGCUCUUCCCGCGCGUCCUCGCCGGUGCCAUCUGCCCCAAGACGUGCAGCUGAAGCCUCCCGGAACACGCGCGGAGGGAGGG